rnacentral:rRNA from 1 species
UACGGAGGGUGCAAGCGUUAUCCGGAUUCACUGGGUUUAAAGGGUGCGUAGGUGGGCAGGUAAGUCCGUGGUGAAAUCUCUGAGCUUAACUCAGAAACUGCCGUGGAUACUAUUUGUCUUGAAUGUUGUGGAGGUGAGCGGAAUAUGUCAUGUAGCGGUGAAAUGCUUAGAUAUGACAUAGAACACCAAUUGCGAAGGCAGCUCACUACACAAUUAUUGACGCUGAGGCACGAAAGCGUGGGGAUUAAACAGG